rnacentral:lncRNA from 1 species
UCAACAAUACAAGUCUAUCAACGAUAGUUUUGCUAUAUUUGCAAUUAUUUUUAAAUGUUGUUAUAUCCUUAAUUAUUAUUUCUCAAAUUGCUAUCCCUUACAAUUACUCAUGUAUUAACAUAUAGCAUUUUUUUUCAGAUUCUAUCAAUAAUAUACAUGAGUAGACAUUGGUCAACUGGUGUCUAGAGAUGAAGUUUUUGUAGACCCAACAAAGAUUAAAGUUGUUACCAAUCCACCUCGACCUUACAGUUAGUGAGGUUCAUAGCUUUCUAGGCUUAGCAGAUUUGGAUGCACUAUUUGUAUGGAGAGAAAAUACAAAACUUUAUAGAUUAUAAGAGUUCAAAGUACUUAUUCACCUAGAAGGAGUUGAACAUGAGAUAACGUAGAUGAUUCGAGUUGUUGAAAGACUAUGACUGCGAGAUCUUGUACCAUCCAAGUAAGUCUAAUGUAGUAGCUGAUGCUUUUAGCAGAAAAGUAACUCAUCAGUAGCUUUUAUUAUCAAAUAGACUCAGUAGUAGCAAGACUUUGAACGAGUGAAGAUUUCAAUUAGAGUGGGAGAAGUUACCUCACAGGUGACCCAAUUGACAGUGUAACUGACCUUAAGGUUGGGAAUUAUUGUGACCUAGCAUACGAUCCUUAUUUGAGUAAGAAGCGUCACCUAGCAGAAGCAUGACAAGUUGAUGAUUUCUCUAUAUUAUUAUUUAAGGAUGGUCUCCCGUUUAAGAGACGUUUGUAUGCUAGUAGACAAUGAAGUUAAGAAAGAUUUGUUGAUUGAAGUUGUUGAAUUAGAAGGACAUGUAAUUUACCAUAUGAAGACUGUAUUGUCUAUACUUUGGUUGCUUUUAUGUUUUUUUUAUGAUUCCAGUGUCAUGGAUGUUUUUAUUUUAAAUUUAUGAACAUUUUAUUUUCAAGUUUAUAGGCCUCAAACAAAAUAUCUCUUUCAUAGUUUUAUUUUAUUAUUAUUUAAUGAAAAUGAGUAGAUUUUGGAUUGUUUUAGUUUUCCAAAUAUCAUUUUUAAUUAAGUAGCAAUCACAAUUUAGUUGAGAAAAGUUAGGUGAUUACACGUGUUUGAGUCUUUUCCAAAUACAAAGUAAGAAGAAGAAUUUGAUACUAAAAUCAAACCAUUAGAUUAGAUUAGUUUGGUUUGGUUUUUUUGUAUUUUGUAUUUUUCAUUGCUGUUAUUACUAAUGAAUGAGGUUUGUUAUAUUUAUAAAUAAGUUAAAUCUAUUUGUUUUAUAUUUGAUAAUAAAUUUUGAAAAGUAAAUAUAGGAGUUGCCAGUAAAAACAAACUUAAAGAAACUUGUGAGUAGAAAAAUAAUGUAAUGGGUAAAUUAGGUAUAGAAUUAGGUGCAGUAAAUAAAAUUUACAAUUAUGAUUAGGAAGGGAAGAAAGUUUGAAAAAAAAUUGGUAAGGAAUAAAGUGGAAAGUUUGAUUAGGAAGCUUUGUAUUCCCGAAAAAGAAAAAAAAGAAAAGAAAAGGAUUAGUAAGGUUUCGGUAUCAUAGCAUCACCAAUAAGCACAUGGGUGUGUGUGAAGGACCAAUCCCAUCUCUCAAUUUUUCUCCAACCUCUCAUCUCUUCCUAAAUCUUUCCUUUAGAUCCUCCCUUCAAUCCCACCCUCCACGCGUCCUCAUCUCUGAAUCCCCCUCUCCACCCACACUUCAUCUCACGCGCCUCCCUCCACAAAUAUCUCAUCUCCAUCAAGUAUCCCACACGCUCCAUCAAUCGCGUGGAGUAACGCAAUCGGUUAUAACUUUAGUUUCACCUCUCUAAUAACAAAAUACCACGUGUUACCAUUCUCGAACCUACCGCAUAAAAAGAAAAUAAAAUAAACAAAAUUAAGAAAAAGGAAGCCUUCCCACUUCACGCUUCCCCCAAGACCAGCCACGUGUGCCCCACCUUUCGGCAGUGCUUGACACUCCCUCACUUCUUAUUGGUCCACUCUGGUCCCCACUCCCAAAAACAGAAUCCAAUUACUACCAGAUUUUGCAUCUUUCCUUCUCCGGCCCCACUCUCUAUAAAACAUAAUUCAACCAAUUAACGUCCCGUCACUGUUUCCGUUACCUAGCCCUAGAGCCACGUGUCCUUCUUUCUUCUUUCUUUCUUUCUUUCUUUCUUUUUUUCUUUCUUUUUUUCUUUUUUUUUCCUUUUGCGCUUUUCUUUUGCUGUUUCUUUCUUCUAUCUUUCUAAUCUCUAUGAUCAUCUUCACCACUUUCUCUCUCUCCCCUCUCUCCCAAAAUGGAAACGAAAACGCUACCUCUUCUUAAUUAGGAUUUUGGAAAUCGGUUUUGUUUUCUUCUGUUCCUUAUGGAUGGUGGUGAAGCAGCGUCCACGCGGCGGAUGAUCGGAUCUUGUACUGGUGGAAGUAAUUGUAAGCCGAUUUUGAAUCCGAUAAUGAUGAGAUUCCGACCGAUUGCUCCCAAGCCACUCCCCGGCGGAUCUGUUCCAUCGUCGUUAGACAGUAAGAACAACAACUCAUCGAUUUCCAAAGGAAGAACGAAAAGGAAGUACGUUAGGGUUAGAAGAUAUAACAGAAAAAAGAAAACUACUACACGAAACAACAACAGUACAACCGAGGACGGAGAGUUGAUGGAUCACGAUCAAACCGCCGUGACGACACUACAACUACUACCGGUCAUCGGCGGCGGUGGUGGAUCUGAGAAUAAAACAGAAACGGGAAGAAGGAUGAUGGAGAAAGAGAUGAGAUUAGUAUCAGAUCCAAAAGGUGGAGUAGGGGUGGAAUUGUGGGUGACGGUAGAAUGCGUGAGAGACGCAUGCAUGGAUCUAGAACUGAGAGAGGGAGAGAUAGGGUGUACGGAUGAGGAGAGGAUAAAGAAUUUAGAGAUGGACACGUGUCCAGGGUUUGUAUCGGACGGUAUGAAUAGAGUAGAGUGGUUGAACAAGGCAUUUAAGAGGAUGGUGUGGCAAAGGGAAAGGAAUAAUAAGGAUAGUAAGAGUAAGAAGAAGAAGAAGGAGGAGGAGGAGGGAGGUAAGGGUGAGUGCGACUGCGACUGCGACUGUGAGUCACCGGCAGAAGUAAGUGUAUGGUUAAUAUCAAAACCCAAAUUACCAAAUAUGAGGAGAGUGUUUACGUGCCAAAUAAAGCUGCAGUUCAAAAGAGGUACGGAAAUGGAGAAGGACUCGAGAGUUGUGCCGUGCGAUGCGUGGAGAAUGGACGGUGGAGGAUUUGCAUGGAAAUUAGAC